UACGUAGGUGGCAAGCGUUGUCCGGAAUUAUUGGGCGUAAAGAGCUCGUAGGCGGUCUGUCGCGUCUGCUGUGAAAACUCAGGGCUUAACCCUGAGCUUGCAGUGGGUACGGGCAGACUAGAGUGCGGUAGGGGAGACUGGAAUUCCUGGUGUAGCGGUGAAAUGCGCAGAUAUCAGGAGGAACACCGGUGGCGAAGGCGGGUCUCUGGGCCGAUACUGACGCUGGAGGAGCGGAAAGCCGUGGGGAGCGAACAGG
rnacentral:rRNA from 1 species